AGCCAUUUUAGUUUCAUUCGUUUGUGUUCGAACGAACAACUCGUUGUGUUUUGCAUUUUUGUCUAUUGAAAAAUUUAAUUUUUUUAAGUAAAAAGUGGUUUAAAAAUACAAAUUUUUAUAUAAAAUUGUUAUUUUAACUUUACUAAGUGGUGUGGUGUACAACGCCUAAAUCACCAAAAUGAGUUAUAUGCCAGCACAAAAUCGUACAAUGUCUCAUAACAAUCAAUACAAUCCACCGGAUUUGCCGCCGAUGGUUUCCUCCAAGGAGCAAACACUUAUGUGGCAGCAAAAUUCGUAUUUAGUGGAUUCUGGUAUACAUUCGGGUGCCGUUACACAGGCACCUUCCCUCUCGGGCAAAGAAGAUGAGGAAAUGGACGGCGAUCCACUUAUGUUUGAUUUAGAUACUGGUUUUCCACAGAAUUUCACUCAAGAACAGGUGGAUGACAUGAAUAGUCAGUUGAGCCAGACGCGUUCACAGCGCAUACGCGCUGCCAUGUUCCCCGAAACAUUGGAAGAGGGUAUUGAGAUACCUUCGACCCAGUUCGAUCCACAACAACCAACAGCUGUACAACGUUUGGCCGAACCGUCGCAAAUGUUAAAACAUGCCGUUGUCAAUCUAAUCAAUUAUCAAGAUGACGCUGAGCUGGCAACACGCGCAAUACCAGAAUUGAUAAAAUUGCUCAAUGAUGAAGAUCAAGUUGUCGUUUCCCAAGCCGCCAUGAUGGUACACCAGUUGUCGAAAAAAGAAGCUUCGCGCCAUGCUAUUAUGAAUAGUCCACAAAUGGUGGCAGCUCUCGUACGCGCCAUUUCGAAUAGUAACGAUUUGGAGAGUACUAAAGCUGCUGUUGGCACUCUUCAUAAUUUGUCACAUCAUCGACAAGGUCUCUUGGCUAUAUUCAAGAGCGGUGGUAUACCAGCUUUGGUGAAACUAUUGUCUUCUCCGGUUGAGAGUGUUUUAUUCUAUGCCAUCACCACCCUACACAAUUUGUUAUUGCAUCAGGAUGGUUCUAAAAUGGCAGUUCGCUUAGCUGGUGGUCUCCAGAAAAUGGUUACCUUGUUGCAGCGUAAUAACGUCAAGUUCUUGGCCAUCGUUACAGAUUGUUUACAGAUUCUUGCCUACGGCAAUCAAGAGAGUAAACUAAUAAUUUUGGCUUCUGGCGGUCCCAAUGAAUUGGUGCGCAUUAUGCGCUCCUACGACUACGAGAAGUUGUUGUGGACCACUUCACGUGUUCUGAAAGUUCUCUCAGUAUGUUCUAGCAAUAAGCCAGCCAUUGUAGAUGCUGGUGGCAUGCAGGCCCUCGCUAUGCACUUGGGCAAUCCAUCGCCCCGUUUGGUGCAGAACUGUUUGUGGACAUUGCGUAAUUUGUCCGACGCUGCCACUAAAGUCGAUGGCAUGGAGGCCCUUUUGCAAUCCUUGGUGCAAGUAUUGGCAUCCACAGAUGUUAAUGUUGUCACUUGUGCAGCUGGCAUACUCUCGAAUUUGACAUGUAACAAUCAACGUAAUAAGGCUACAGUUUGUCAAGUCGGUGGUGUUGAUGCUUUAGUACGUACGAUUAUAAAUGCUGGCGAUCGUGAGGAAAUUACUGAACCAGCCGUCUGUGCUUUGCGUCAUUUGACAACACGUCAUGCUGAUUCGGAAAUGGCUCAAAAUGCCGUACGUUUGAAUUAUGGUCUCUCGGUGAUUGUAAAACUUUUACAUCCACCAUCUCGUUGGCCAUUAAUUAAGGCCGCCAUUGGUCUGGUACGUAAUCUGGCUUUGUGUCCAGCUAAUGCAGCUCCAUUGCGUGAACAUGGAGCCAUACAUCAUUUAGUACGUCUAUUAAUGCGUGCUUUCCAAGAUACCGAACGUCAACGUUCUUCUGUGGCCACUACUGGCUCACAACAGCCUUCGGCCUAUGCAGAUGGCGUUCGUAUGGAGGAAAUUGUUGAGGGCACUGUGGGUGCAUUACACAUUUUAGCACGAGAGUCUCACAAUCGUGCUUUGAUUCGCCAACAGUCGGUAAUACCGAUAUUUGUACGUCUGCUAUUUAAUGAAAUAGAGAAUAUACAGCGCGUUGCCGCUGGAGUUCUUUGCGAAUUGGCCGCAGACAAAGAAGGAGCCGAAAUCAUUGAACAAGAAGGAGCCACUGGCCCCUUAACUGAUUUAUUGCAUUCACGCAAUGAAGGCGUUGCUACUUAUGCCGCCGCUGUUCUAUUCCGUAUGAGCGAGGAUAAGCCGCAAGAUUACAAGAAACGUCUCUCUAUCGAGCUGACCAAUUCACUUUUACGUGAAGACAACAACAUAUGGGGAAAUGCCGAUCUAGGCAUGGGUCCAGAUUUACAGGAUAUGCUUGGUCCAGAGCAAGCAUAUGAAGGCCUCUAUGGUCAGGGGCCACCGAGCGUACACAGCUCCCAUGGCGGUCGUGCAUUCCAACAAGUUGAGCCAGCCUAACAUAUAUCAUCAUUAAAUGCAAAUUUAAACUCCGAAUUUAUUUAAAAAUUAAAAAAAAAAAACGGAAAAAUUUUAUAAAUUAACCAGAAAAAACUCUUAUUUAACAACUUUAAUAAAAAAUUAGCUGUUUUUCGAACCAACUAAAAAAAUUAACACAACGAGAGAGUAGUGCAUUCAAAAUAACAAUUUUGCAAAAAAAAAGCAGUGUACACAUUAAAUUAUAAACAAAAAAUAUAAUAUAUACGCAAUUAACGAAAAAUAAUAUUUAAUAGUUAUUUACUGCAAACAAUAAUAAUCUCUUAAAACUUCUUCUAUUUCAACUGAAUUAUGCUCAAAAAAAAAUGUUUGUUGUCCUGCAAAAUCUCACUUAAAACUUGUAGGAUAUGAUACUUUACCAAUAGACUCUAUGCAGGGUCUUGAAAUCAGCAGUCCCGUAGGAGGCGGCGGCGGUGGUGGUGCCCCACCAAGUGCUGCACCAACUUCACCCUAUUCCAUGGAUAUGGAUGUUGGUGAGAUUGAUGCUGGUGCUUUGAAUUUUGAUUUGGAUGCCAUGCCAACACCACCCAAUGACAACAACAAUU
rnacentral:misc_RNA from 1 species